rnacentral:rRNA from 1 species
GACGAACGCUGGCGGCGUGCCUAAUACAUGCAAGUAGAACGCUGAAGAGAGGAGCUUGCUCUUCUUGGAUGAGUUGCGAACGGGUGAGUAACGCGUAGGUAACCUGCCCUGUAGCGGGGGAUAACUAUUGGAAACGAUAGCUAAUACCGCAUAACAAUGGAUGACACAUGUCAUUUAUUUGAAAGGGGCAAUUGUUCCACUACAAGAUGGACCUGCGUUGUAUUAGCUAGUAGGUGAGGUAAUGGCUCACCUAGGCGACGAUACAUAGCCGACCUGAGAGGGUGAUCGGCCACACUGGGACUGAGACACGGCCCAGACUCCUACGGGAGGCAGCAGUAGGGAAUCUUCGGCAAUGGGGGCAACCCUGACCGAGCAACGCCGCGUGAGUGAAGAAGGUUUUCGGAUCGUAAAGCUCUGUUGUAAGUCAAGAACGGGUGUGAGAGUGGAAAGUUCACACUGUGACGGUAGCUUACCAGAAAGGGACGGCUAACUACGUG